rnacentral:snRNA from 1 species
AAACGGUAAAAACCAUAUCUCAC